rnacentral:rRNA from 1 species
AUGACCGUGGAUCAUCAUGGAGAUCGCCUUCUGUGUUUGCGAAGGAGCUGCUGGCUACUUCCCCUUAUCGACGUCGGCAGAGUUGCGCUGGAUUGGGAUGUUGGGAGUUCUCCAUCCUUUUCCACCGAGCUCUGCUUAUGUGCAGCUGUGCAGAGGGAACCGCAACUGUUUGUAUGCAGGCUGAAUAUGCACGUUGCAUGUGUUCCUAGCAGCCAAUACACCAGAUUAUAUAAGAAAAUAAAAUAUCGAAAUUUCCAAUGGAUGAAAAUUCAUUUAGAAACGUGUGUUUCAAUUUCCAGUAAGAGAUAUCGCAACAUCACAAAUACUCUAUUUUUGUUGCCUUGUACCUUGAGAAAAGUUAAAUGGAUUACACUGCUAUAUAUAUAA